CUCGCCAAAACCCUCAGAAGGCAUCUUGAAGGCCUUAUUCCCCGCCUUCGGCCACCAUGAUUUGCUUCGGGCUUCGGCUCAAUUAACCCAGUGAGUGCAGGCUUCUCCAUUGAGAUCCCUUUGCACAUGAAGCACCGCCCACCAAAGUUGGAGCUGCCAUCGACAUGGUGCCCGCCGAUGAGUGCAUCCACCUCCAUCAGCUGCGGAAUCUCCUGGGAGUACACCCGCAUGCUCCUGCCCCUCUUGUUCUCCAUAGGACGCUGGCGGCGACACCGCGAGCCUCUACCCCCGCUGAAGUGGAUUCAAACCUGACAGUGGAGGCCCACUGUGAGGAUUCUAAUUUUAUUUGACCGUUUUUCUAAAAUGUAUUCUUCCAGAAUACGCCUUCCCCGGUGGCCCAUAUAAUUUCACUAGAGUGCUUUGCUUCUUUCCA